GAUGAACGCUAGCGGCAGGCUUAAUACAUGCAAGUCGAGGGGCAGCAUGACUGUAGCAAUACAGUUGAUGGCGACCGGCAAACGGGUGCGGAACACGUACAGAACCUUCCUUCGAGCGGGGAAUAGCCCAGAGAAAUUUGGAUUAAUACCCCAUAGUAUAUUAGAGUGGCAUCACUUUGAUAUUAAAGAUUUAUCACUUGAAGAUGGCUGUGCGGCUGAUUAGGUAGUUGGCGGGGUAACGGCCCACCAAGCCUUCGAUCAGUAACUGGUGCGAGAGCACGACCAGUCACACGGGCACUGAGACACGGGCCCGACUCCUACGGGAGGCAGCAGUAAGGAAUAUUGGUCAAUGGACGAAAGUCUGAACCAGCCAUGCCGCGUGGAGGAUGAAGGUCCUCUGGAUUGUAAACUUCUUUUAUAUGGGACGAAAAAAGGGUUUUCUAACUACGUCUGACGGUACCAUAUGAAUAAGCACCGGCUAACUCCGUGCCAG
rnacentral:rRNA from 1 species